AUAGAGAAACGUCAGAUUGGGCACUCAAAAGAAGAAGAGAAAAGAAAGAAAAUAAAGAAAAGAAGAAAAGAAAGGAUACCCACUAUUCACCAAAGAGAAAGUUGGAGGGAAUUCAGGAAUAUAGAAUCCAGCUCCUUCUUUUCCCUCCAACAAAUAUUUGUGGAAUGCCGGUAUCCCGUUAGGUCUGAAGAUGCAGAGAUAAACAUGAAAUAAUUCCCACUUUCUGGUGUUAAUAGUUAAGUGACGGACUGAUUUAAAAAGUUCUAAACAGGGUGGCUACCUCAGUUGCCAGCCCAGGAAGCACCAUCCACAUAAACCGCUGCUCCAUCGACCCUCGGGGACUGUGCAAUAAAGCUGCA